rnacentral:rRNA from 1 species
UACGUAGGGGGCUAGCGUUGUCCGGAAUCAUUGGGCGUAAAGCGCGUGUAGGCGGCCCGGUAAGUCCGCUGUGAAAGUCGGGGGCUCAACCCUCGGAUGCCGGUGGAUACUGUCGGGCUAGAGUGCGGAAGAGGCGAGUGGAAUUCCUGGUGUAGCGGUGAAAUGCGUAGAGAUCCGGAAGAACACCGGUGGCGAAGGCGGUCUGCUGGGCAGUUGCUGACGCUGAUGCGCGACAGCGUGGGGAGCAAACAGG